rnacentral:lncRNA from 9 species
AGCGUGGGUCCUUUUAUUUGAAGGUUCCUCCUAUCCCAUGGCCCACCCAUCUCAUGGCCCCUCCAGUAAGAUGGCUCCUCCUGUCUCAUGGUCCCACCCAUCUUAUGGCUCCCCCAAUAACAUGGUUUCCCUUCUCCCAUGGCUCUUCUGGGAAGAUAACUCAGCCUAGCCUAUGGUCCCGCCCACAAGAUGGCCCCUCCCAUCUCGAGUCCUGCCCAUCUCCUGGCUUCUCCAAAAAGAUGGCUCCUCCUAAUCCAUGGUUUCUCCCAGAAGAUGGCUUCUCCUGUAACAGGCAGAUCUUGAAAACAAAGCAUAUGUCCAUCAACAGUUGAUUAAGAAGAAAGAUGAAGCCCAAGACAUGAAAAAAACCACAAGAGGGAAGAAACCUGGGUCCCUGAAUGACUACAUGGAGCAGAAACACCCACCAUUCCCCGCUGCACUAGAGUGUAAACAAAAACCCAACCUCAUUGUUUUAAUCCAGUGAGAUCAUACAGCCCCCAAUAACUGACUUAUGUCAUAUGAUCUCCAUGUCCAAAAUGGUAUUUUAUUCAGAGUCACAUUAGUGUCAAAAGUAUCAAAGAUGCCCUAAAGGAAAGUUAACAAUCUCUCAGAUGCAGACUGGACCUAAAAGGUGUUCUCUAUAGUCAGCAUGAUGUUGAUUUAGUUACUUUUUUUAAUCCAGAGAUUUUAUACAAAAUAUGGAUUUCUAGUGCUCUGUGAAAAGUUUGGCACUAUUGGGAUCAUAUGACAGGCGGUGAGUAGCCAGUGCCCUGUAAUACACUAAAUUUCCCAUUCACCUCCCCAGGGUACCUUCACUCAAUUCAGUUUGCUUUUAUGUUCUGACUUCUGACUUUGCCACAGAGGGACAACGAAUAACAAGUAAUUUGGAGCUUUAUACUCUUGCAAUUCGAUAAUUAUUCUUGUGAUAAUCAAAAUUCUAUUCUACCUUUGAAAAGGAGUCACAUGUUUCUUAACUUUAAGACAUAGGAGCUUCAUUCAUCUUCUUUCCAUGUCUGCAUUUCUGAAUGUUGUCUCACUCAAAAGCAGAGAUGAUUUAACCAUUUGAUUUUUUCCCUAAAAGAAAUUUUGCUGAAAUCCAAGACCAUAACUCUUCUUUCUUUUUUUCUCUUUGUGGUAAGACAGAA